rnacentral:rRNA from 1 species
UACAGAGGUCUCAAGCGUUGUUCGGAUUCAUUGGGCGUAAAGGGUGCGUAGGUGGCGCCGUAAGUCGGGUGUGAAAUUUCGGAGCUUAACUCCGAAACUGCAUUCGAUACUGCGGUGCUUGAGGACUGGAGAGGAGACUGGAAUUCAUGGUGUAGCAGUGAAAUGCGUAGAGAUCAUGAGGAAGACCAGUGGCGAAGGCGGGGUCUCUGGACAGUUCCUGACACUGAGGCGCGAAAGCCAGGGGAGCGAACGGG